rnacentral:rRNA from 1 species
UGGGGGAUAUUGCACAAUGGGCGAAAGCCUGAUGCAGCGACGCCGCGUGGGGGAUGAAGGCUUUCGGGUUGUAAACCUCUUUCGCUAUCGAACAAGGCCCGCUUAGGGUGGGUUGAGGGUAGGUGGAGAAGAAGCGCCGGCUAACUACGUGCCAGCAGCCGCGGUAAUACGUAGGGCGCGAGCGUUGUCCGGAAUUAUUGGACGUAAAGGGCUUGUAGGCGGCUUGUUGCGCCUGCUGUGAAAACGCGGGGCUUAACUUCGCGCGUGCACUGGGUGCGGGCAGGCUUGGGUGUGGUAGGGGGGACUGGAAUUCCAGGUGUAGCGGUGGAAUGCGCAGAUAUCUGGAGGAAAACCGAUGGCGAAGGCAGGUCACUGGGCCAUUACUGACGCUGAGGAGCGAAAGCAUGGGUAGCGAACAGG